AGCGAACGCUGGCGGCAGGCUUAACACAUGCAAGUCGAGCGGGCAUCUUCGGAUGUCAGUGGCAGACGGGUGAGUAACCCGUGGGAACGUACCCUUCGGUUCGGAAUAACUCAGGGAAACUUGAGCUAAUACCGGAUACGCCCUUUUGGGGAAAGGUUUACUGCCGAAGGAUCGGCCCGCGUCUGAUUAGCUUGUUGGUGGGGUAACGGCCUACCAAGGCGACGAUCAGUAGCUGGUCUGAGAGGAUGAUCAGCCACACUGGGACUGAGACACGGCCCAGACUCCUACGGGAGGCAGCAGUGGGGAAUAUUGGACAAUGGGCGCAAGCCUGAUCCAGCCAUGCCGCGUGAGUGAUGAAGGCCUUAGGGUUGUAAAGCUCUUUUGUCCGGGACGAUAAUGACGGUACCGGAAGAAUAAGCCCCGGCUAACUUCGUG
rnacentral:rRNA from 1 species